AGUNGUACCAGGUUUCCGUAGGUGACCUGCGGAAGGAUCAAUA
rnacentral:rRNA from 1 species